rnacentral:tRNA from 2 species
GGACAGUUACUCAAGUGGCUGAAGAGGCUCCCCUGCUAAGGGAGUAGGCGAUGUAAUUCGUGCGUGAGUUCAAAUCUCACACUGUCCGCCA